rnacentral:lncRNA from 1 species
ACUCCUCCCAGGGCUUGAGGAAAUCUCCAAGGAGCGCAGCCCAGCAACCUGGACACAACUGCACACACAUUCCAGUGUGAGCCUUCACCCAGAAACCCAGCAACCAGCCCGUCUCGGAUCGGGACUGUAUGCCCACCCGCUGGACACCACGCACGCCAGCCACUGCAAAACCACGUCCACACGCGUGACCUCAUAUGACCCACACAAUGGAUGCACAAUCAUGACUUUUGAAAAAAAAAAAAAGUAUGUAUCAAGCUGAAGGCGAAUUCAAGAAGGUAUUAAAGUUGAGUGCUGGUUAGUCCUGACUGUCAAGCUGACAGGCUGAAGAGGCCCCUGGAGGAGACUGGAUCCGCUGCAAACCUCCUCACAGGUUAGACUGCUCAGGUAACAGUUGACUGGGCCUUUAGGGGUGGGGCUGCAUGGGAGGAAGGGGGUCACAGGGGUGUGACCCUGGGGACUCUGUCCCUGGCCCCUUCCUCUCUGAUCCUCCCUACUCUCUGCUUUCCAGAUGCCAUGGGUUGAACAGCUUCUCUCCACCACAUCCUUCUGGAUGUGGCUGCCUCAGAGCCAGCCAACCAUGGACUGAACACUCCAAAACCACUCCUCCUUUAAGGUUUGGGUGUCAAGUAUUUGAUCCCAGCACUGGGACCAAGACAAGGGCAAUCCAGAGCUCGCUGCUAUGUGCUGUCCACAGUGCCGAGAGCGACCAGCCACCAACAGACAGACAGACAGAUGCUUUCUCCGGAGGAGGAGGGGCGGGCCUCGGGCAAGGGCCGCACUGCGAGGUCGGAGCCCUGGCAGGUCUGUCCUGCUGAGCCUAAAGAAUGACGGCUCCAGCUACCUCAGGGCUUGGGGACCGGCAUCCCGGCCCUUGCCUGCUGGUCACUAAAACCACAAUUUGUGUUUUCUUCUGGAACCGCCACAGACAUGGAAGUCUCUUUUGCCAUGAACCAUGACUCCUCACUGGGGCCAGGAGAUGCCCAGCAGCCUUGACCUUCAUGUUGCAACCUUAUCUCUGUAAGUCCUGGGUGGGAUCGCGCCCCGGCUCUCCCCUAGGCGUCUGUAUAGGAGCUGUAGACUGGGCUGCUGAGCCCUGAGUACACAGGGUCCACCCCCCUGGAGACUGAGGACGCCAAGAUCUGAGGCUCAUGGGGACAUCGGCCACCCCAGAGGCCUCUAGCCUCCUGGAUUCUGGAAAGGUGGAGCCCCGAGGACUGAGACCCCCACAGGUAGAGAUAAUCCUUCCCUGGAGAUAAAACUGUCCCUCACCAGGAGGACCCCAGACCAGGGCACUGAGACUGAGAUGGGGACCAGCCGUCCCAGCCCCCCACAACACUGGAAAGCUGGGCUCUGCCUCUGAGGGUGGGCCCAUCUGCACCCCUGUAUCAAGCAUGCCCCCAGAUACCCAAGCUGGACUCCUUUCUUGUCUUCCCUCUAACCUCCCCAUUAAAGCUUUUUUCUGUAAAUCUGUGCUUUAGCUUUAGUUUUCAUUU